AUGCGGAUGCGGCUGUUUCUUCUAGCACGAGAUUCUACAACUCCGGCAAUGACUGCUGUGACGCAGCGCUCUGCUCAGCUGCAUCAGAACUUGACGCGGUGGCAAUUUUUCUGCCGAAGAAUCCCCAAGAGUUCGGCAUCACCGUGCCACGCCGCCACACUCCUGAUGGAGAUGCAGAGUCAAGCCCUCCUCUUCUACCUUCAAUCUCCUGAUGGAGAGGUCGCGCAGGGAGGAAUCGGCUUGGAGCUCACCGGAGAAGGAAUAAUCAGCGGCGGAGGCGGAAUACCGGCUCCAGGGAAGAAGGUUGCGAUCUCCAUGCUCAUUGCACCAUUGAUUCGGUUUCUUGAGGGGAAAUGGAGAGGUUAUCGAGGGAAAGUCGGUGGCACGAUGGCUCGGACAAUCGUUCCCCACGACAGCUGGCGCAACAAUGGAAAUGUAGCGGUGCUGAACAGUGCGCGCUCGAGAACAUCCGGGCACCCAUAGGGGCAAUUUG
rnacentral:lncRNA from 1 species